rnacentral:rRNA from 1 species
AUUGAACGCUGGCGGCAGGCCUAACACAUGCAAGUCGAACGAGUGGCGGACGGGUGAGUAAUGUCUGGGAAACUGACUGAGGGAGGGGGAUAACUACUGGAAACGGUAGCUAAUACCGCAUACCAUCAAAUGUGCCUUGAUGGGCUGAGAUGGUUGGUGGGGUAACGGCUCACCAAGUCGACGACCCCUAGCUGGUCUGAGAGGAUGACCAGCCACACUGGAACUGAGACACGGUCCAGACUCCUACGGGAGGCAGCAGUGGGGAAUAUUGCACAAUGGGCGCAAGCCUGAUGCAGCCAUGCCGCGUGUAUGAAGAAGGCCUUCGGGUUGUAAAGUACGUUCAGCGGGGAGGCGUUACCCGCAGAAGAAGCACCGGCUAACUCCGUGCCAGCAGCCGCGGUAAUUC